GUGAGGUGAGAUUGUGCAGUGCUUUUUUUUGCAUCUCUGGAAAAUUACGUGACUGGUGACUUCCUUACUGAGUGCUAACAGUGUGAGGAAGGCUUGGUGUUGGCGUGGUGAGGGUGUGGUGGAAAUAUUGACCUGUACUUUAUCGUGUGUAACUUGAGCUUUUGUUUGAGUACUGAAGGCGUAGUGAGAGGCUGAAAGUGUGAGGAAGGCUUGGUGAGGGCAUGGUGAUGACGUGGGCAGGACGCGGGUGAGAAGGCAUAGCUGACGCACGCACGGACGCCUCCAUGGAACCUGUCUAAAAAGUGAGUCACAUCACUUGCAGGUGGAAGGAAAUCCUGAUUUCUAAGAAGUGGCUGCCCUCACUUGCCGGCUGCACCUGCGAACCCCCUCCAGGUAACAAUUAUCAAGGUAAGGAGGGAAGGGUGGAGGGAGCGAGGAGGUGGAACAGAGGGGUAUGAACAAGGAAGUGGAGAAAGGAUGGAUGAAGACAGUAAGUAAAGAGUUGGAAAAUGAGAGAAACCGUAAACUAGAAAGAGGAGGAAGAUCUGAUGGAUAAGAAAGUUAUUUGAAUUUUAUAAGUAGGAGAU
rnacentral:lncRNA from 1 species